rnacentral:rRNA from 1 species
AUUGAACGCUGGCGGCAGGCCUAACACAUGCAAGUCGAGCGGAGCGGCGGACGGGUGAGUAAUGCCUAGGAAUCUGCCUGGUAGUGGGGGAUAACGCCCGGAAACGGGCGCUAAUACCGCAUACUAUCAGAUGAGUCUAGGUCGGAUUAGCUAGAUGGUGGGGUAAAGGCCUACCAAGGCGACGAUCCGUAGCUGGUCUGAGAGGAUGAUCAGUCACACUGGAACUGAGACACGGUCCAGACUCCUACGGGAGGCAGCAGUAGGGAAUAUUGCCCGAUGGGGGAAACCCUGAUGCAGCCAUGCCGCGUGUGUGAAGAAGGCCUUCGGGUUGUAAAGCACUUUCAGCGGGGAGGCGUUACUCGCAGAAGAAGCACCGGCUAACUCCGUGCCAGCAGCCGCGGUAAUUC